UGGCAACAUGCCAAAAAUAACAAAUGGGCAACUGCAAUUUUAUAACCACAACCACAACAUGGUCUUUGGAACUCCACCGUGCCGACAAGAGGCUUAAAAUGGCCAUGAUAAUCUCAAUAGAGGUACUAAAAUGCGAACGGAAGGGUUGUACAUGCUGUGUCCCGUUGUACGACUUCAGCUAUAUAUACAUUUAUCUCAUGGCUUCUCC